rnacentral:tRNA from 1 species
UCCACAUUACUAGUGUGGCGCCUUACCAACUUGGCCAUAGAAGC